GUCUGAGUGUUGCAAAUGGUCAACACAUUUGGCUACUAACCAAAAGUUUGGAGGUUCGAGUCCAUCCAGAGGCA
rnacentral:tRNA from 1 species